rnacentral:rRNA from 1 species
AACGAACGCUGGCGGCAUGCCUAACACAUGCAAGUCGAACGAGACCUUCGGGUCUAGUGGCGCACGGGUGCGUAACGCGUGGGAACCUGCCCUUAGGUUCGGAAUAACUCCCCGAAAGGGGUGCUAAUACCGGAUAAUGUCUUCUGACCAAAGAUUUAUCGCCUUUGGAUGGGCCCGCGUUGGAUUAGCUAGUUGGUAGGGUAAAAGCCUACCAAGGCGACGAUCCAUAGCUGGUCUGAGAGGAUGAUCAGCCACACUGGGACUGAGACACGGCCCAGACUACUACGGGAGGCAGCAGUGGGGAAUAUUGGAAAAUGGGCGAAAGCAUGAUCAAGCAAUGACGCGUGAGUGAUGAAGGCAUUAGGGUAGUAAAGCUAUGUUAACCGGGAUGAUAAUGACAGUACCGGGAGAAUAAGCACCGGCUAACUCCGUG